AACGAACGCUGGCGGCAUGCCUAAUACAUGCAAGUCGAACGAGAACUUCGGGUCUUGUGGCGCCCGGGUGUGUAACACGUGGGAAUCUGCCCUUUGCUUCGGAAUAACAGUUAGAAAUGACUGCUAAUACCGGAUGAUGUCGAAAGACCAAAGAUUUAUCGGCAAAGGAUGAGCCCGCGUAGGAUUAGGUAGUUGGUGGGGUAAAGGCCUACCAAGCCGACGAUCCUUAGCUGGUCUGAGAGGAUGAUCAGCCACACUGGGACUGAGACACGGCCCAGACUCCUACGGGAGGCAGCAGUGGGGAAUAUUGGACAGUGGGCGAAGGGCUGAUGCAGCAAUGCCGCGUGAGUGAUGAAAGCCUUAGAGUUGUAAUGCUCUAUUACCAGGGAUGAUAAUGACAGUACCUGGAGAAAAAGCUCCGGCUAACUCCGUG
rnacentral:rRNA from 1 species